CAUUUUAAAAAGCGGAGCCCUUCAGGGGAGGAUUUUUGUUGAACGGCUACCUGAGCAGAACAGCUUGGAUUUAUUCCGCCGGAAAAAAAGCCUGUGAAUCAUUUUGGAGACGUGGAUACGUGUGCAUGUCUAAAGCAAACCCCCGACCGAGACCAACACAAACACAGUCGUCACAGCGACCAUCACAGGGGAUUAACAAGUUUCUGACAGGACUCACUGUGGGAUUUUCUGCUGAGAGGCACUCUCAGCAAACACUUCAUCACCCUUCAUUCAAAGAACAUCACCCACCCAGAUUGAAAAGGACAGGUUCAGGGUGAGGGCAAGGCAAAGUGGGGAGCGAUGGAAGAUGUGAAGUAUGGAAGGAGGUGCAGCAACCGCUGUCCACUAAUGAGGUGCCAUGCGCCUGCUAUAAACCACUGUGGACAGAUAUAGCCAGAGGACAGCUGCACAGUGAGCGUUGUUGGAUUAUAUGAGUUGCUGGGUGAAUUUGUGUGUUAGAAAAAUCAGGCUUUCCGUUAAGGGCAAUGGCUAAGUUGUACAUUGUUAAAGGGAUAGCUGGCAUUUGUGAAAGUAAGGCCUCGUGGAGACGAACAGUUGGUAUCUUAACUGCUGAUGAGAGCAGAACCCAAACCAAAAGAACCCAUGGGAUCUUAAAACUGUUUUAUGAACUUUUACUUUCACUUUUGAUGAUGCUCCUAUUGAAAGCCAUGGGAAAACUUACGACUAAAAGCCACCCAGCAGGGUCAGGAUUAAUUUAUCAGUAAUUAUUAGCAUCUUGUCUGGAACACAUAGAAAUGUGUCUGCUCAGAGUUAUUGUGAGGUGAUCCUGGGGCAGACCCAGAAUUCGGUGGGUAGUAUAAUGCAGUCCUUAAGUGUAAGCACACUUUGGGACCCUUCAGAAUGAGCUGGAGAAUAAUUCUGACUGGACCUGUUGCACCUUUGAACGCAAUGAAAAGACGGCUUGCUUGAUGCAAUUGCCAAGAGACAGCAUAUUUCCUUUUAAAGGAAAAUGGUAGCACAGUCUAGGUUUACAAAGUUGGAUCUAUCUCUGCAUAAAGACUAAUGGAACAAUGUCCUUUGGGCAGAUGACAGUAGUGAUGCAAACUGUUGAAAAGCAAGCACACCAACUUCACAAAUGCCUAAUUUCUUCUCUAGAGCAUGGAGAUGGGGGAGUGAUGGAUUGCGCAGGUUCCUUUUUAGUCAAUGAAUUGAAUAUAAACUUCUCUAAAAUAAAGCAUUUCAGAACAUAUUGUAUAAGGCAGAUGGGUCACCAACAGGACAAUGAUACCAAGCAUAGCAGAAGAUCUUCAACAGGAGAUCAAAAUGUGAUGCUGUGCAGAAUGAAUUUCUGAAAACCUCAAAUGAAGUAGUGUGGUAAAAACUUUGUCCUCAAAACUGUACACAAAAAAUAAAAUGUGCAUAAACAAUGUGUGUUUUAAAAAAUAUCCUGGACUCUUCAAUAGUAAAAGGUUUAUUAACUGACCUAAACAACAGACUGGUUUCUUUCUGCCUUGUUGUGUUUUGAGGCUGAAUGAGAAGUGCUUAAUAUUAGUUUUGGAGGUUUUUGCCAUCAUCUUUCAGCACAGUGAUCCACAGCUGUUCCUUCACUGUUGAAUCUUUGAGCAGUUGCCAUUUUUGAUUCCUGUUCAUUUCUGGUUUUCUCAGUCUUAGAGUCACAAGUUAGAGAACGUUAAAAAAUAACUGAGGCUGUCAGCACUUCAUAUCUGCAGUAAAGAACCCUGACAGAUGUAGGACAGAUUACAUUGUCCUCCAAUAAAAGCAGAGUCUGCUUCACACACAACAGACACAUAUGGCACCCACAAUCCACAGCAGAAAAAUUGGAAAUGCAGAAACCAUCUGGUUUGUGUCUGUUAAUGUCUAUUUGUCCUUAUUUUUUUCCUGCUUUAGAAUAUCCGGUUUGACUUGUUGUCAGAUCCAGUGAAGGGAUUUCCCAAAGUUUCAGUUAGAUUCCACUGCACCGUAUUGGUUGAGCUGGUAUUUUAUAGCAACAUACUGUACA